rnacentral:rRNA from 1 species
GGGGAAUAUUGGACGCGGGCCAAAGCCUGAUCCAACCUUGCCCAGGGAGUGAAGAAAGUCUUCUGAUUGCCAAGGACUUUGCUUUGGGAGGAAGGGGACUAAUUUAAUACCUUGCUGUUUUGAGAUUACCGACAGAAUAAGCACCGGCUAACUC